CUCUUUCUAAUCUGCCAUUAAAUUAUCCAUCUCCUUAAAAGCGUAUGAGCUUAACUACAGAUCUACAGGCAAAGCCGUCAACUCGUUUCCCCUGAACUUGCACUGAAGAUAAAAAGUUGGUGUGCAAACUGUUGCUCCACUGUGAAGGGUUAAUGAAGAGGAAACAAAACGGAGCAUUAUUCUUCCACUGCCAUAAAUAUCUCUGUAUGGCUUACCUCCUCUCCCCGCCCUGAGCAGCAAGGCGAGUGUCAGGAAGGCACAUGUCAGAGCAGUUACACACACCUCCUAUCAGGGGAAAAUAACCUCAGGGACUUGGGGCAGAAAGGGGAAGGAGGGAAAGGAGGGGGAGAAAAGAGGAGAGACUUAGAGUCGCCACUUUGGUGCUGUCUGCUACAUGAUCGGAGCUCACUGAGCCAUGAAACAAUAUUAGGCACCACUCGAAAGUAACUUCACACCAUACUUCUUAAUUCACCUUAGAUUACUUAAGUGCUUCUGCCGUUUGCUGUUAAAUAAAACAAGGCUCACCACUUAGCGAGCCAAGCAGGGCAGACAAAAGGAGCGAGAUAUGCUAUACACCCCAAGGGCUGGGUGAAAACUACAGAGCUCACGUUGCACUAGGAUUUCGGAGGGGAGAGGGAAAGGAAUACACAAGGGGGCCCGAUUCUCUUUUCAUUUACGCCUAACAGCCAUGUAAUUCUGGCGACUCCCGGUGCAGUUAUUCCCAAUUCACUCCUGAUUCACACCGACACAACUCCACUGACGCCAGGGCAAUUAAUCCGGAUCUACACCAACAGAAUUCCAUCGUCUCCAGUGGUGAUCUGCAGGAGCCUGGUGUGUCAGAGAAUCGGCGCCCAUCUGUUAUUAUCAGCUGUACAAUGAAAGAGAGAGGGAAGAGGGGGAACACACACACAAUCAAGCUCAUCAUGAUUCUCCUUACCUGGGGGAGAGCCCGGAGGUCAGAGCGGCCCGAGCGGCCAGGAAGGGGGGCGCCGAGGCAGGAGCUGCGGCGGGCUUUUGAUGGUGGUUGCGGGUCCUUCUCGCCGGUCCCUCGGUGUCCCGCCACCGACUCCGAAAGGAGCGAGCGGGAGAAGGGGGGAGGAAGAAAGAAAAGAGACGGAGAGGGAGGGAGAGAGAAACCCAAACCUCCCUGAGGCUACAGCCAGCCAGGCGGGGCGAGAAGAGCGCCUGGCAGCAGAAAACCCCCCCCUUGAUCAAUUUUCAUGCAAGAAUCAUUAUCGGUAAAUUGGAAAUCUGGCUACUUGACAGCAGAUUUGUCUCCUCUAAUGAAAGCGGGAGGGUAGGAAACCAUCAGGCAUCUGUUCAUCGCAGGCAGUCUCCAGCGCUUAAUGCCGGGUUUGGUCCUCCGCUCCUGGACGGUCAUCUUCUGCUUCCCCCCAUUGCUUUUUUCUUUUUUUUUUUCUUGGGGGGAGGGAGGAGAGGUGGGGCUGGGGGUACAGGCGAAUUUGUAGCCGUUUUCACGCCCGAUCUUCCGGGGUGCAGGAAGCCAGGCGCCAAAGAAGCCAGUCCAUGAAAACCUGGAUGCAGACGUCUCUCUUUCCCCUUCCACCCGCUCAGAUAACUGCUAUCCCCCCGGCUCCCCCAGCCUCCUGCAACAUCCAGCCCCCCACGCUUCGCAGGCCUCCCCCCCCCCCCCCCCCGGAGGUGGGCUGUGUUUCCAAGCAGCUGCUGGUCAAAAACAACCCAAACGAUAAGCCAUACAAAAGACCUCCCAGCCACUUAAAAACAUUUGCCUUCACGGCCUGCCCUGAGCCUUUCUCUUCCCUCUCUCUGCCUCGCACAUAAAAGCCUGCCAGGAGCAGCGGGGGCCAAGAGUUAACUAUCUUGACUGAGGAGCAGAGAGAGAAGAAGAAAGAGGAGGAGGAUCCAAAAACUCCUACCUGCCCCAGAGGCUGGCUGCCAACAGCCCCGGCUGCCACACACACACACCCCUAGCCAGGUUCAGACUACAAGCCUUGUCCCUUCCCCCCCCCCAAUUCCCCCUUUCCUCCCCAGUCCGAAAAUAUCCCUGUUGUGACUGUAAUCAAGUGCCUGAUACAAUCUCACACAUUCCCUCUCCACCCAGGCAUUAUGAGAUCCGGGAAGACAUGCUCGCAGGCAAAUCGGGCUAAUAAAUGCUAUUACAGAGCUCAGGCUGCACCAUAGUAACAAAGGCCCAGGUUUAAUUUGCUUUAAGUAAACGAUCAAGUGACACAAUGUGCUGUGGGCCUUCCGCCCCUUUCCCCCACCCCCUCCAGAGCUGCCGGCUGCUUUCACUGCCGAAGUUCACCAAGGCAAAGGUGUGAUAUCUCCCUACUGCAAGAGAAAGCCACAUCCUGUCUGAUAACUGACCAGCCCAUGCACCAGCUUCAAGAUACAGUCCCUGCACAGUGGUGUGGCUUCCCCUUUGAAGUCAGAGUCACAAAGGAUCCCAACUGCAUGGGUGGUUAUACCCUUAUUGCACCUGGAAGUCCAGAAGCCACCAGCAGGUUGAAGAGACAUCAUCUGCAUUCCCGUCCAUGCACAGAAAUGGGGUCCAUACCUCAGGGGCACAUGGCUCCUCAUUGCACAUCUACUCCCAGACAGGCAACUACAGACUCUUUUAAACCAGUCCUGUAUUUCAUAUAACACACCGUGGGCCUGAUCCAAAGCCCACGGCUUUCCCUGGGAUCUGGAUCAGGUGCUGUAGGACAGAGAAAUACACAAAGGAAGAACCCUGCUACUUUCAGAUGAUGCCAGAGUCCCCCUGAAGCUAAUUUGGCAAAUAAUAUUUUGUGCAGGAUGAAUGGGUUUUUUUCUGGUUGAAAACCACGUAAGGAAGCCCAAAGCUUCCAUCUGCCAAUAUUGGAGCUGAAAGUAUUUCUGGGUGAGCAAGCGGGGGGUGAAAUUCAGGGCUCUCUCAUGUACCCAAGUAUUUCAGAGGCCCUUUUUUUAAGCUACUUUGCAGGAAAAUCCGCUGGAGCAAAGGGGGAUCCCCCCCGGCAGCGAACGAACACACACACGUACACAUGGUUUGAUUAAGCAAAAGUAAAAGCACUUACAAAGUGAAAUGACUUUGCCUUGUCCUCGACCUGUCCCCUAACGGUUCAGUGGGUGUAGACAGAGCACAGGCUCCUAUCAGCCCAGCCAGUCUGGGCAGGAGAUAAGCAAUAGCUUAAUCCUCCCCCGUCCCCAGCCUCCCCCUGAGUGCUAGGGUGGCCGCAGAGCCCUCGGUGCUGUGUGUGCUUCCUCCCCGCCCCUGAGCGGGGGGGGGGAAGGGUGUUGACCCAGUGGAAAUGAGCUGUUCUGGGGCCAUGACAACACAAACGCUGAGCAUCUCUGACCCUGCUUUUUUUUUUUUCUGCUGGGUGACCCCGGGCUUUCCUAUGGGCUCGUGUGCCCGGGAAUCUCUCUGGUUCCAGGGCACUGGCAAGCAUCACCCACCCUGCUCCUCACACAGCGGGGCCCUUUGUGCAAGGGCUUUCAAUCCCCCCCCACCCCAGCCUGCUCAGACUGUCACUCCAGAUCCAUGCCUGUGAGCAAGCACAGACACAGCCAGCCAGGUUAGGCCAGGCUCCCAUUAAGGAAUAAUGGCCAAUAUAACCCCUAAGGUGAUGCUUCCUCCCAUCAUGACCCCAACUCUCCCGCUAGUCCUGGGGUGCGGUUUGUGCCAUAGCCUCUGCCCCCACAACCCUGACAACAAUUCCGCCUCCCCUUGCAGGCGCUCUGUUUUCAGCUGCCAUGCCUUUACAGGUUUUUAAUUCGCCAGGAUGACACUAACGUCGGAGAUAAUUAAUACUACCCCCCCUCCCCCAUCAACGGUAUAUGCUAAUGGCGUGAGCCAUAAAAAUUAAUUUGCAAACAUGUCAUUACACAAUAGAGGUACAGGCAAUAAACCUGUAAUUACAGGCCAAUCACAGAGCGGGUACAGAGGGAGGGGUGCCUUGCCAAUCCAUUUUUUUUUUGUUUUAAUCAUAUAAAGCUCUACAGGAGAAUGGUUUCACUCAGUUAAGUUGGACUCCACUUCAAAAGCAAGCUGUGCCUCUGAGGCAGAGAGCACCUCUUGGCAGGCGUAAAUAAAUAUCAAUUAAUAAAUACCAAA